CGGCCUAUCACUGCGGAGCCACCGCCACUGGCGGUCCGACUCACCAAAUCCGACGCUGUUGCGAAAUCCUUGCUCGCUCGAUAUAGUUAAUGUUGGACCCGAACGUGUGUAAGGCACAAACUGGUAAAAGCGUUGAGCGCGAAUCCGUCGGGCAAUUAGCCGAGUGAGCUUUCGCGUGCCCGGUGGAGCAGGCCAAUGGUUCUGUGUUGGGGUGCCUACGUACAAUCGGGGUGCGUCAAGCCUUUAAAAAAAUGCUUCACGGUGGGACCAACAUUUUCGACCAGGCGUUUCCGGUACAUGUGAGGGAAAGAUUACCCUCAGUCAUUGUUUCGACCUCAAUCUGAAUGACCCUGCCAGUAGAGCGUGGCUGUCAAGGAUGGUGGUUCGCCUGAUGCUAUUGACAGUAAAUGUUUGUUUUAGGCAGGUCUCAGAAGCACAUACGGCAUCGUGUGUGUAUGUUGCGUAGGAAGCGACCGUUUUAGAGGUGUCAUUGCGACCUCAAGCGCCUGUUGUGGCACGCACUGAACCCCUAGUUGCUAGGAGUUCCAAUGCCAGGGAAUGUCUCCGCCGUUUGCCUCUGGAUGGUUUAAUUCGAAAAAGACUGAGGUUGAUGGUAAAUUUCACAAGUGUUGCAGGGAGCGAACUUCCCGGUCAUGGAGCGAGAGAAGACCGCAUCACUACACACCUUGCAGGUGGAUGUUAGCUCUAUUGUGAGGGAUCGUGAAGGAUUUUACGACAGUUUGCACCGCUUUUCCAUACAAGGUUCUUCCACCAUAUUAGUUGUGGAUGCCAUUUACUGUCGGAGUCACGUUGCAAAGAAGUUUUAGGUUAAUCGGGGGCGAUUUGAGUCCGCGUCGUGAUUAAAACCGAAGUCACUGUAGCAACGGGCGUUUGGGUUGGGUUGUCCGGGUCUCAUGACAAGAGGGGCGACAGAUAUAUGUCGGCGGGGAAGCAAGGUUGCGUACCGCACGCCAUGCAUUUGGCGGUGCAAUCAGUCAAGUCUUCGUAGAGCUCGUAGAGGGGGACUACCAGCUCUGCCAGUACAGGUGGCUGAGGGUGACGCCACCCGUCAGUCAGUGAGGCCUCAGCAAAUAAGCGGCUAGCGGGUAGAAUUAUGUCACUGAAGAGUCAUCUUUUCUGACUAGGUUUUUGUCGCCAAAUCUAAGUACCAGAUAACGAGUGAAUGCGGCCUCGAUUUUCGGGCAACUGAAUUUAGGAUCUCCUCAGUGCAGCGGCUGUCGCAAGAAGGGUUCAAUCGUUGUUGCCGUUUAAUAGUGUAUACCUCGUUCUGUGACGCAGAAGACGGUACAAACUGCCCUUCUUCAGAUUACCACCGACGGGGGCGACGUCGUGACGCCAGAAGUUUUGGCAAUCGACGAUACGAGCACGGGUAAUAAACAUAUUUCAGUCUUCUUGCUCCAUAGGGGAGGACAGCGUUGGAACACCCAUCGAUGAUGCUUUCUAGAUGAGGUUUAACCCCGGUCAGGUUCGACCUUUUCUUUUUCCGGGGAUCCGUUUCUGAGUUCCAACAGGGGGCACUAUGCUUUUUUUCCACAGUCGGGUGACGCACUUGUCUCCUGGCGAGUGUGCCGGUUGGUGACACUGACAGGAAACCUGUUAAAUCGAAUUUGAGCAGAUUUGUUUCGUCUACCUCGUUGCGACCCCACCAAUCGUCAUGUACUCCUUAUGAACACUAUGUCAAGGAACCUUACUGGAGA
rnacentral:lncRNA from 1 species